rnacentral:rRNA from 1 species
GAUGAACGCUAGCGGGAGGCCUAACACAUGCAAGCCGAGCGGUAGAGAUUCUUCGGAAUCUUGAGAGCGGCGCACGGGUGCGGAACACGUGUGCAACCUGCCUUUAUCUGGGGGAUAGCCUUUCGAAAGGAAGAUUAAUACCCCAUAAUAUAUUGAGUGGCAUCACUUGAUAUUGAAAACUCCGGUGGAUAGAGAUGGGCACGCGCAAGAUUAGAUAGUUGGUGAGGUAACGGCUCACCAAGUCAAUGAUCUUUAGGGGGCCUGAGAGGGUGAUCCCCCACACUGGUACUGAGACACGGACCAGACUCCUACGGGAGGCAGCAGUGAGGAAUAUUGGACAAUGGGUGAGAGCCUGAUCCAGCCAUCCCGCGUGAAGGACGACUGCCCUAUGGGUUGUAAACUUCUUUUAUACUGGGAUAAACCUACCCUCGUGAGGGUAGCUGAAGGUACAGUAUGAAUAAGCACCGGCUAACUCCGUGCCAGCCGCCGCGGUAACAC